CCUACGGGAGGCAGCAGUGGGGAAUAUUGGACAAUGGGCGCAAGCCUGAUCCAGCCAUGCCGCGUGUGUGAAGAAGGUCUUCGGAUUGUAAAGCACUUUAAGUUGGGAGGAAGGGCAGUAAGCGAAUACCUUGCUGUUUUGACGUUACCGACAGAAUAAGCACCG
rnacentral:rRNA from 1 species